rnacentral:tRNA from 16 species
CAGUGGAUGGUUCAGUGGUAGAGUGGCCGCAUGGUAAGCGGAAGGUCCGGAAUUCGAGUACGCGCUAUUUA